CAGGACAUAGUUAAAAGAUUAAAACAGUUCCCUCACACCGAUCAAUUAUCCGUUAAAGUCGGAUUGUCCUGA
rnacentral:tRNA from 1 species